AUGGAAGUUGCAAUUGAGAAAGUGAUGCCAAACACCACACACCAUUGGUGCAAAUGGCACAUUCUUAAGAAAGCAAAGGAAAAACUGGGUGCAUAUUACACAAAACGAAGCAAAUUCAGAGCAGACUUCCACAAAAUAGUGAACCACAUGCUAACAGUGGAUGAAUUUGAAGGUGCAUGGGCUGAGCUGCUUGACAAAUAUGGACUGCAAAAAAACACAUACUUGGAUCACAUAUAUGAAAUGUUACCUGCUAUGAGGCUAAAUACACCACUCGAGUUCCACGCUAGCAAAAUCUACACUGUCGCUAUGUUUGAGAAAUUUGGUGAAAUUCUUUAUGAAGCAGGACAAUAUAGAGUGGAAGAAGUUGAAAAAGGUUCAAAAUAUUAUGUACACCGGUAUGACCCAGAGAAGCAUGACAAGUGGUGCCAAGUUAUGUACAUAGUGGAAGUGCUUGCUGCUGGUGAAGAAAUUGCAUGUGAAUGCGGAGGUUUCGAGCACACAGGUAUAUCCAGAAUACCAUCUAAACACAUCAUAAAGUGGUGGACAAGGGAUGCCAGAGAUAUACUUCCAGAUCACUUGGCACACUUGCAGAAAGACCAGAUUUCAGCCAACUCCAUCACAUUCAGACAUACAAAUCUGUAUACUCAUGCUUUAGAGGUUGUAAGACUUGGGGAUGCAAACCCAAUCGCUUAUGAGUGUGCAAUGGACCUUCUUAGGUCAGCAAUGGAUAAAUUAACACCUUUAGCUGCUGAUCAUGAUGGACUAGGCUUACAGCACAAAAUUGAAUUCAGCAAGCCAAAAGGAACACAAAUAAGUGUGCUGCCUGAAACAGGAAAUGGAUACGGAAGUGAUGCUGAGGGAAGUGCAAUUGGAAAUUUUACCGGUUUAUCAACUCCAGAACGCAAGCGAAAGGCUGGACGACCAACCAACAGCAGAGACAAGCCUCCAUAUGAUGACUGCAGUGCAAAAAGCAAAAAAUAUAAAAAUGUACCACAUCUUGAUAGUGCUCCAGCAUCUGGUACCAGCAAGCGAACACGAUUCUGCACUAUAUGUCGUGGCCCUGGUCAUAAGAGCACAACAUGUCCACAGAGGGGUGAUAUUCCUCAAAAGAAAAGAAAGGAACCAAAAUGCUCAACCUGUGGAUUGGGAGGGCAUCGAAAGAACACAUGCAACAAUCCUAAGAUCGUCUUACAUGUUGCAGAGAUAGGUGCUCAUGAACCUCUUGUGAACCAGUGA
rnacentral:rRNA from 1 species